rnacentral:rRNA from 1 species
GACGAACGCUGGCGGCAGGCCUAACACAUGCAAGUCGAACGAGUGGCGGACGGGUGAGUAAUGUCUGGGAAACUGCCCGAUGGAGGGGGAUAACUACUGGAAACGGUAGCUAAUACCGCAUACCAUCGGAUGUGCCCAGAGGGGGUUAGCUAGUAGGUGGGGUAACGGCUCACCUAGGCGACGAUCCCUAGCUGGUCUGAGAGGAGGACCAGCCACACUGGAACUGAGACACGGUCCAGACUCCUCCGGUGGGCAUCAGUGGGGAAGAUUGCACACUGGGUGCAAGCCUUGUGCGGCCAUGCCGCGUGUAUGAAGAAGACCUUCGGGUUGUAAAGUACUUUCAGCGAGGAGACGUUACUCGCAGAAGAGGCACCGGCUAACUCCGUGCCAGCAGCCGCGGUAAUAC